GGCAGGUGAAGUCACUGAUAUUUUAUCAUUUAAGAUAACAUUCAAUAAGUUACAAAUAGGACUCCAGUCUGGAAAAAGAAUACUUGACAAGAUGGCUAAAACCAUCAUCCCAUGGAUAUUCAUAAUCAUUCUUAAAGCUGCAGUGAUCUUUUCCAUCAGUGUACAGCAAACACCUCAACAUCUAAUGAUCACACCAGACAAGAGUGAAGCAAAGAUAAAAUGCUGGCAUGGUGAUGCCACCUAUCCCUACAUGAACUGGUACCAACAAAAGACCAACAGCGACACUAUUGAGCUCAUUGGACAACUAAUUAAUGACAAAUUCACUCCCGAGGCGAAGUUUAUUGCACGAUUCACCACAUCAGGAAGCUCUACAGGAGAUGCGUUCCUGCUUAUAGCCAGUUUAACUCCUGAGGACAGUGCAGUAUAUUUCUGUGCUGCUAGAAGCACAGCCACACAUCCUCCCUUUCUGUUGAACAAAAAGCUUCACACCAAACACCUGGAAAUAAGAUCUGUUCUCUGGUUAGUCCAUCACUCCAGUUAA